GAUGAACGCUGGCGGCGUGCCUAAUACAAGCAAGUCGAGCGAACGGACGAGAAGCUUGCUUCUCUGAUGUUAGCGGCGGACGGGUGAGUAACACGUGGAUAACCUACCUAUAAGACUGGGAUAACUUCGGGAAACCGGAGCUAAUACCGGAUAAUAUUUUGAACCGCAUGGUUCAAAAGUGAAAGACGGUCUUGCUGUCACUUAUAGAUGGAUUCGCGCUGCAUUAGCUAGUUGGUAAGGUAACGGCUUACCAAGGCAACGAUGCAUAGCCGACCUGAGAGGGUGAUCGGCCACACUGGAACUGAGACACGAUCCAGACUCCUACGGGAGGCAGCAGUAGGGAAUCUUCCGCAAAGGGCGAAAGCCUGACGGAGCAACGCCGCGUGAGUGAUGAAGGUCUUCGGAUCGUAAAACUCUGUUAUUAGGGAAGAACAUAUGUGUAAGUAACUGUGCACAUCUUGACGGUACCUAAUCAGAAAGCCACGGCUAACUACGUG
rnacentral:rRNA from 1 species